ensembl:lncRNA
CGUUCCUGUGCGGCCUGCGAGGCAACUGUCAGAAACGCCGGCGCGGCCGCCCAGCCCCGUCCUCUGCCCAGCGGCCCAGCCCUCCCUCACCCGCCUUCUGGGUCUCCGCCCGGCACCCGCGGACGUGGGCCUGGGGGCUGCCCCGCUGUUCCCCGGGCAGCCGCAUCGCCCGCUCGCCGCCGCAGGCUCUUGCGCAACGGAGGCUGCUGGUGUCCGAAGCAACUCGCGGUGGUCAGCACAUGUGCCCUCGUCGUCAGCGGGAGGCAGGUGCUGCGUGCCAGCCGAGGGGCCCCGGGGCGCCACUGCGGGAGCUGGAGUGGGCCGAGGCCCGGGCGCCGAGGGUCCGGGCCUGGCCCCGGGCCGCCAUCCGCGGCUCCUUCCCGCCGGGCGCCGCUAGAAGCCCUCCAGCCUCCGCGCCGCGCCCCCCGCACUGCCUCUGCGGCCCCGCUCCGCCUGCGCCCGAGGCUCGGCCCUUCUCCCCACUCCACGCGGGGCUCACGUCUCUGAGACGCAAGUCCUCUCUUCCUUGCUCGGAACAAACUGCUAGUCGUCUCGGAACAUCAGCCGCCUGCCGCUUUCUUUACAGCCCUGGAAGCGCUUGGGCAGACCGAGGGCCCAGGACCGUGCCUGCAUUUUCUAGCGUCCCUCACGGCCAGGUGGGCCCUGCUAAGCCAGCAGGACUUCAUGGUCUGAGUGUGUGCACCACUCACAGCUCACCCCCAGCUGGAGUGACCAGCAGGAUCCCCCUGCUGUGGGGCGGCUCACAGCCCAGAGCACAGCCGCCCUCCCCACCACCUACAGGAGUCUCUGCAGGCGCCUCCCUGUCCACCUGGGGGGAGACGGCGGGGAGACCACAAGCAGCACUCCUCAGGCAGGGGACUGGGCGUCACCGCAGGCGCCCUUCUCUCCUUUCCGUGUUCCGCCUGCCCCGCCGCUCUGUCUUCAGCUGAAGGCAGUCCUCAAGCCUGAGUUCUGAGCCACUCUGAGAGCCCCCCACCUUCCCCUGGUGCGCCCCGUCCUCAUGAGGGACACGAGAGUCCGCACGUGUGCACACUUGCACACGCUCCCCUCAGCUGCUCGUAGACCAUCUCAGCGCCGCCUUCCCCGUGAAGCCUUCCCCGAUUGCCUGCAGGAGCCAUGAUCGUUCUGGCUCUCUGCUUCCACAAUUCCCGUCUCCGACCAUGAAGGAAACUUUCCCCACCGUGUUUGGUCGUACGGGAGCCUGGCUGUCCCGUCUGAGCAAUCCUCUGUCUUAUUAAUCCGCACGCAUCAGCACGCUACCCACACGUGUUCAUGGCUCAGAAAUGUUCGGUGAGGGAGGGAUGCAGGACAGGCCGAGCCUUUGAAAUUGUGGUUUGUCUUUAUAGCAAAGAAUUGUAUUUUCAUCUAUUUAUUUCUCAGCUAAAGGGAUUUGUGCAUCAGAGAGGCCAAGAUUGCUUAUCCAAGGUCAUCUGACUUCCCUGCAUCUCAGCUCCAUCGUAGCAGGUGGGCUAGAGGGCCCGUCUCUGUAUCAGCAAGUGAGUGGACAGCAGCAGGGAAAUAACCAGAGACAUGAGGUGCUGCACAAAGUCAGGUUUCCUAAAACUGUGCUGUGGGCUCCUGGCUGGAUUAUAUUGAGGAAGAAAGUAACACAAGGCGAGGUGGACGUUCAGCGUCUCUGGUCACUUCCCCGCUGCUGUCCACCUACCUUGUGGAUUCAGAGAAAGGCCCUCCAGCCCACCUGCUACGAUGAAGCUGAGAUGAAGGGAAGUCAGACAACCUUGGAGAAGUAAUCUGAGCCUUGACAUCGUAUGAGUCCGUGGAGAACAACCUGGAUGUCAUCGUAACAGGAGCAUCGGCAAGUCACCCAGAUGAACGCUGUGGUGGAUCGUGGGGUUUAUGCGCAAAGGAAUGAAAGGGAUUUCUUUGAGUGAGUCUGAGUCAGCUUGGAUGCCGUGACCUUCUAGAGCCUGUCAGGUCCAAGGGGAGCCUUUCAAAGGACUGCGGCUUCAGUCUGUAGCUGGUUGUGCAGGCGUUUAAGACUGAGCGACCCCGAGGGCACAGCGACACAGGAAGGCCAAGGCCUGACCGUCUUUCCCGGAGGGCGGCUUGGUUUUGGCCAGGAGUUUUCCAAAGGAGUCCUGAAGUAAGGAAGAGGGAGAAACACAGCCACCUUGGUGUGUCCAGGUAGUGGGUGGGGCUCAGAAGUGGCAGCCUCUUUGUUGGGGGCCAGGGGCUUUUCCUGAGGCUUGCCAACAAGCCACCUGAUUCACUUAUGUUUCCUGAUACGCAGAAAGAAGCAAGCAAACAAAUUUUUCCAAAGACACCUUUAUUGCCAUCUGGUCAAGGAAAGAGAAAAUGUCACCUGCGCACACGCAGAAUCCCUCACCAAGUCUCUGGCCCCUUCCCCGCUCCAUCUCCCCACCUCUUGAUGUCACCAUUGCAUGGUCACCCAAGAAGGUGGAAAACAGAGAAGAGACCCGUCAUGGAGGAGGGAGCCGAAGACAAGUUGGAUAUUUAAGACUUCGAAUUCAGAUUUUCAAGGGAUUAGAAAACUUUCUCUCUCUUCAAAGGAGAGUUUAACGGGGGUGGGGGUAAGGCUUUGUAUCAGGCCCACAAAGAAAGGGGGCGCAGUGACAGGCGGGCGUUCUCCUGGGAAGCCCGGGUCAGCCUUCUAACGGAACACGGAGCAGCACCAUCUCCCCGUGCUGUCCCGGAAGACACAGUGACGGUGCAGCCCCAGGGAGGAGGAGCAAGUGGACACUGGUGGAAGGCUCUCUAAGACCGCAACUUCUGGCACACUCCCCAGAGCAGGCAGGACUGACGGACACACGCGUGGGGUCAUCACCCGCCUAGGUCACGUCUCUGCCAGCCUAGGGGUUUCAAGGCGAGAUGUGGCCAAAAACAUUUGGAUCUUCAACCAAAAUUACGUUGUCACCUUUCAACAGAGGUACAGGCGUUCUGUAGGGUAACUGACUAUAAAGGCAGAGGUUCCGAGAAAGCCAGAGGUUUGUUUCAAUGCUGCGGCAGCGCUAGCGAGCUCAGAGUGUUUCACGAGUGAUUUCUGUGCAGAAAUGAUUUUGAAUAUGAGAGCUAGUUAUCCCCUGUAAAUACUGGUCAAUGACUGGACUCUCGAAUCUGUGGGGAGAGGACUCGGGUUCGGACUCUGAUCCUGUGUUUCUCCUCUCUCCAAG